GUAGUAUUCCCUCCGUCCCAAAAUUCUUGUCUUACAUUUGUUUAGAUACAGAUGUAUCUAACACUAAAAUGUAACUAGAUACAUCCGUAUUUAGACAAAUUUAAGACAAGAAUUUUGGAACGGAUGGAGUACAAA
rnacentral:pre_miRNA from 1 species